UACGGAGGGUGCAAGCGUUAAUCGGAAUUACUGGGCGUAAAGCGCACGUAGGUGGUUUGCUAAGUCAGCUGUGAAAUCCCCGGGCUCAACCUGGGCACUGCAGUUGAAACUGGCAAGCUAGAGUAGGGUAGAGGGGUGUGGAAUUCCAGGUGUAACGGUGAAAUGCGUAGAUAUCUGGAGGAACACCGGUGGCGAAGGCGGCAUCCUGGACCGACACUGACGCUGAUGCGCGAAAGCCAGGGGAGCAAACGGG
rnacentral:rRNA from 1 species